rnacentral:rRNA from 1 species
UGGGGAAUUUUGGACAAUGGGCGAAAGCCUGAUCCAGCAAUGCCGCGUGUGUGAAGAAGGCCUUCGGGUUGUAAAGCACUUUUGUCCGGAAAGAAAUCCUUGGCUCUAAUACAGUCGGGGGAUGACGGUACCGGAAGAAUAAGCACCGGCUAACUACGUGCCAGCAGCCGCGGUAAUACGUAGGGUGCAAGCGUUAAUCGGAAUUACUGGGCGUAAAGCGUGCGCAGGCGGUUUGCUAAGACCGAUGUGAAAUCCCCGGGCUCAACCUGGGAACUGCAUUGGUGACUGGCAGGCUAGAGUAUGGCAGAGGGGGGUAGAAUUCCACGUGUAGCAGUGAAAUGCGUAGAGAUGUGGAGGAAUACCGAUGGCGAAGGCAGCCCCCUGGGCAAUACUGACGCUCAUGCACGAAAGCGUGGGGAGCAAACAGGAUUAGAUACCCUGGUAGUCCACGCCCUAAACGAUGUCAACUAGUUGUGGGGAUCAUUCCUUAGUAACGUAGCUAACGCGUGAAGUUGACCGCCUGGGGAGUACGGUCGCAAGAUUAAAACUCAAAUGAAUUGACGGGGUCAUAGCUG